GUACUCUGGUUUCCCUUCAAAACGUAUAAAUCUUUCGCCUUUUACUAAAGAUUUCCGUGGAGGGGAACACUCAAAUGAGUCUUAAGACUAUUUUUGACGCUCUGCUCACGCGGAGC
rnacentral:snRNA from 1 species